GUGAUUGCUCCAGCAGCACAUAUACUGAAGAUUGGAAUGAUACAGAGAAGAUUAGCAUGGCCCCUGCAUAAGGAUGACACUUAAUCAUCCAGCACUUAUUU
ensembl:snRNA U6 U6 spliceosomal RNA